rnacentral:tRNA from 1 species
ACUUGAAUAGCUUAUUUAGAGCGUGACAUUGAAGAUGUCGAUGAGGUAUUUAUUUCCUUCGAGUA